CCCUUCCCUAGAAAAAUCGCACUGUCACUCGACUAGCGAAGACAAUUCUGGCUCUAUAAAAUCGUCGUCUUCUUCAUAGCGAAGAUAAUUUAUGGUUCUAGAUUUAUAGUUGAUUUUGCGAAAUCAAGAUUUGAAGAUUGAUCUGAAGAAGAACGAAGAUGACUUGGACUUCUGCUGCUCUGCAUAUUUAGAUGAAUACCAGAAGCUUGUCACUAGGAUGACGAUGCCAAAGGUCAUGAUUGAUAAUGUCGGUUGUUCAAAUGUGACUCGCGUUAUUAUUAGGCCCCAUGGUAGCAAUGUUAAGACACUGACUGACAACUUAUUCCAUGUGUAUGUCGCCUCCUAUGUUGGAGUUUGAUAUCUCAAUAAGAGGAGAGUUUCUUAAGAAAGAAAUAAAGAAG